GACGACAAUAAUAUUCCUGCGGUGUGUAUCGGCUCUGUGAUAAUCCGAAAACGCUCGGUCAGAAAAAAAAAACAAACAAAAAACAGUAUUCAUAAGAAUAUAAUGAAGAAUAAUAAUACUAAUGAUAAUAAAAAAAAAAAAAAAAUAUCGGCUUUUUAUAUAGAGCGGACUAAAGCAAUUUUAUUAGUCAUUAAUAAUAAUAUCAACAAAAAAAAUAAAACAAACACAAAUUUAAUCAAAUACAUCGUUAUCAUAUUAAAGGUUAGAUAUAUUUAAUAUAUAUAAAUAUAAUAUAAUACAUAAUACAUUGUAUUAAAAAAAAAAAUAAAAUAAAUAAAAAGAUUAAACGUACAUAUUAUUACAACAUUAGAAGCAGAAUAACGGUUUCCCCCCUCCGUCCGAUUGUUCGUUAUCUAUAUAAUAUUACAUUAUAUUAUAAGUAGGUAUGUAUAUAUACACCCAUACAACAACCACACACAAUAUUAUUAUGUAUAAUUACGUCUGCUUUUUUUUUUUUUUUUUCUAUUCGUAAUAUUAACGGGAGAACAAUUUUUUUAUUUUUUACAAUUAAGACGCCGAAUAUUAUUAUGAUUAUUAUUGCGUACAGAAACAGUGGGCAUCGCGCAUGGGUAUGUAACGUAUUAUUAACAGACCGUAUUAUUAUUACCGUCGUCGUUAUACUAUUAUUUCGGAUUGUCUCUCGCGUUAAUAAGCGAGGUUUUUAGUUUUUUUUUUUUUUUAAUAUAAAUAGGCACACAUUUAGUAAUAAGUGUACACGCGCGUUUUCUAUAAACACAUCACCGCGUUUACACGGCCUGCGCGGCGCGUACGAUAUAUUAUUACGUGUAAUCGUAUGAUGUGCGGGGAGGGGAGGCGGAUUCGGCUGUAUUAAAUAUUAUCCGCCCGUUUCGUUCCGAAAUUUGUAUCCCGAGAUAAUGGAAAAAAAAAAAAAAAAAAAAAAACUAGCGCAACGUCCGUACGGAAACAACGCGCGUCGUUACCGGCAGCGUAUCGCGUAUUGUAUUAUAACGGUCUGUUUCGUCGGUUAUUCUUUAAAUUCGAAGAGAAAAAAAAAACUAUAGGCGCGCGUAUAAUGCGCAUCUAAUUGCCUAACGAAAAUUAUCAACAUCAAAACGAAGUUUCGAGAGAAAGAGAUAAAAAAAAAAAAAAAGUAAAGCCUAUUGUUUGCUCGCCCGCUAACCCCGCGGGAUCCGACGGCGUUUCUUGUGUACUGCAAUAAAAUACACGUGACAGGCAGGGCCUAAAUUAAUGUGUCGCCUGACACGGAGCGUGUUCCCCGAAUUACGAAUGUGUGUACCAAAUUUAAUAAAUAUUGCGCGCGUUAGUUUUUAUUGUAGACAUUUUUUAAAGAUGAUAACAAUCAAUUAAUGAGGCCACUCUAACCAAUACACGGUAUUUACUCUGUCAGUUGAAUUGAAAAGUGUGCCUCCCCCCCCCCCCCCCUGAAAUCUGAUGUAUUUUAGGCCCUGGCUAUAAGAGUAUUGCGCGAUUACGCGGUACACUGCAGUAUAUAAAUACAUAAAAUAUUUGCAUACGGGACACACUGCGGCAGUCGAAUCCCGGCGCGCCCUGUACAAAACGUUAUAUUUUUCGCCGUGGGAGGGCUGGAAAUAAAAAAAAAAAAAAAAAAAAUCGAUCCUCGAGACUUCGAUAACCGCGGUCGAAUUUCCCGGGAGAAUUCUGCGCGACAACGGUACUGACGAAUCGCGGACGGUACAACACGGCGCGAUCUCUCUGCGGCGGCGGGCGAGCGGCCGUACAGUUGUUGAAACGCGGGGUGGGGGGGAGGGGGGGAGAGGAGGAAGACGUAAACGCCGUCACGGUUUAUAUAAUACGUCUCGGGUGAAAAAAAAAAAAACGAAAAAAAAAAAAAAAAAAAAAAAAAAAAAAACCCGUAAAUAAUAACGCGCCGAGGAUAAAUCACUCGCGAACAGCGUGCGCACCGUAUUCUGAUGCAGUCCGCAGUAUUUUUCCCGACGAUAUUUUACAAUGUUACGAUUCCCGUACGAAUGCCGAACAUUAAUAAUUUUUGCGCGUCGAUUUCCGUUAGUGAUUUUCCCCCUCUGAUAAAAUAACAAUCACACGCACACAACAAUACGGACGGGGAGUAUGACGGUACAAAAAUGUAACGGAAAAAAUUAUGAAACGCGUAUUGAAUUGGUCGGUACGCGUACAAUGUAAUAGUACGUAUAUCCGCGUGUGCGAUACAAUUAUGUGUAGCGACGGCGGACGCGUUUAUCUGUUAUACGGACCGGUAAUACCUAUAGGCACACAUUGUAUUGUGGAGCACGUAUAAUAAAAAUUGAAAAAAAAAAAAAAAAACCAUUCCUCCCCGCCCCAGUCCCCCCUCCUCCGACGUAUAUACAGAUAAUGCAAUAAAACAUAAUAUGAAACCAAGCGUUCUUUUACAAACAUUUUAACAUACGCUUGUACAAACACACAUUUUAGAAAAAAUAAAAUUAAAAAAAAAAAAAAAAAAACCAAAACCAAAACCAAAAUAUCGUAAGUAUAAAAUUAUUAAUGUAUGUAUUAUUAUUGUUACUAUAGUAUUUAUCAUGGAAUACGGCGGCUGGCUGUGAAUUAAUAACAAUCGAGUACCUAUACGUACGAAUGCGUAACCCGUCGUAGCGUUUAAAAACGAUAAUAAUAAUUGUUAUUAUUAUUCAUACCGACACGUACGGCCGCGGUUGUAAUAUUAUUAUAAUAAUUCGGUGUUGCAGUUGUGCAUAUAUGCUCGAUCGUAGCCAUACGCCCGCGUGAAAGACGAGCAAAACCGCGUGUACAGUUCGACGGUCGAUUUCGCGGGGCGGUGCGGGGGAGGAGGAUGAGGAGGAGGAGGAGGGGAAAUGAAUAACAUACUCGGAAUACGUGUACGCGGAAAAAAAAGAUACAGUAAACCGCCCCGUCCCCCUUCCGGAAAAACAGCAAAUAUUUACCCGAAAAUAAACUUACUUAUAAAUUAUUAUCGCCGCGCGUGCAUUACCACGUAUACAGAUAAAUGCGCUUUUGUGUCGCGAUUAUUAUUACUGCGUAAUGUACAUUGUAUUAUUAUAAUAAUAGCGGUAUUGUAAUAUUGGGUUCCGGCAUAAAAUAGGAAAAAAAAAAAAAAUGAAAAAAAAAUAACAAAAAAAUAAAAAAUUUCUCGGAACCUUGAUAAUAAUAAUAAUAAAAAAAAAAAAAUUAUAAUAAAAAACAAAAACUAUAAUAAAAAUUGAAAAAAAAAAACCGAUACACGACGACGACCCAAUACAUAGUAUACUUAAACGGCGCGUAACGAGAUUUUGCGUUUCUAAUGGUCACCGAGCAAGGCACAGAAGAACUACGGGCGGUGUGUAAAAUUAUACCCCGUGAAUUCUUUCAGUGCCAUUUUCAGUGGCACCAUCAUCGUCAUCUCCGUCAUCGUCGUCGUUGUCGUUGUCGUCGUCGUCGUCGUCGUCGU